rnacentral:lncRNA from 1 species
GCUUUUAAACUUUUCUUGUCAAUAUGGCCUAACCUUUCAUGCCACAACUUUGCAAAGGUAAAGUUAUCAGUUAAAGCAGCAGCAGUCAAACCAAGUAAAAGUUUUGCUUCAAGAAAAUAGAGACCAUGUCUCUUAGGGGCACUAAUGACCAAGUCAUUUCCCCUAAGAAUUUUCAUAUGUCCUUGACCCAUUUUAAUAUCAAACUCCAUAUCAUCAAGCAUUCCUAGAGACACCAGAUUUCUUUCUAAGUCUGGA